rfam:Dipodomys ordii contig_9164, whole genome shotgun sequence.
GGUGGCUUAGUAGUAGAGUGCUUGCCUUGCAUGCAUGAGGCCCUGGGUUCAAUUCCUCAGUACCA